rnacentral:ncRNA from 1 species
GCAAAAGCAAAGAAAAAGAGGAGUAUGCGGAUUCCGUCCCGGCAGAGAGAAAAAUCCAUGGGCUGAGAGAUUUUUCGGGAGCAGGCACGCAGAAGGUAGCUUUGGAGCUGUUCCGCUGAAAAAAAGAGUAGGCGGAAACGGGUGGUUCCGUUACAGACUGUGAGUGUCCGUCAAUUUUUUUUGACGGGAAAUAAGGUGGUACCGCGAGCUUUCGUCCUUUGG